GAUGAACGCUGGCGGCGUGCCUAAUACAUGCAAGUCUAGCGAACGGACGAGAAGCUUGCUUCUCUGAUGUUAGCGGCGGACGGGUGAGUAACACGUGGAUAACCUACCUAUAAGACUGGGAUAACUUCGGGAAACCGGAGCUAAUACCGGAUAAUAUUUUGAACCGCAUGGUUCAAAGGUGAAAGACGGUCUUGCUGUCACUUAUAGAUGGAUCCGCGCUGCAUUAGCUAGUUGGUAAGGUAACGGCUUACCAAGGCAACGAUGCAUAGCCGACCUGAGAGGGUGAUAGGCCACACUGGAACUGAGACACGGUCCAGACUCCUACGGGAGGCAGCAGUAGGGAAUCUUCCGCAAUGGGCGAAAGCCUGACGGAGCAACGCCGCGUGAGUGAUGAAGGUCUUCGGAUCGUAAAACUCUGUUAUUAGGGAAGAACAUAUGUGUAAGUAACUGUGCACAUCUUGACGGUACCUAAUCAGAAAGCCACGGCUAACUACGUG
rnacentral:rRNA from 1 species